ACAGAGGUCCCAAGCGUUGUUCGGAUUCACUGGGCGUAAAGGGUGCGUAGGCGGUCGGGUAAGUCUGAUGUGAAAUCUCACAGCUUAACUGUGAAACUGCAUUGGAUACUAUUCGGCUUGAGAGUUGGAGGGGGGACUGGAAUUCUUGGUGUAGCAGUGAAAUGCGUAGAUAUCAAGAGGAACACCAGUGGCGAAGGCGAGUCCCUGGACAACUUCUGACGCUGAGGCACGAAAGCUAGGGGAGCAAACAGGA
rnacentral:rRNA from 1 species